rnacentral:rRNA from 1 species
UACGUAGGGUGCAAGCGUUGUCCGGAAUUAUUGGGCGUAAAGAGUUCGUAGGCGGUUUGUCGCGUCCGUUGUGAAAGCUUGGGGCUCAGCCCCAAGUCUGCAGUGGAUACGGGCAGACGUAGAGUCAGGUAGGGGAGAACGGAAUUCCUGGUGUAGCGGUGAAAUGACGCAGAUAUCAGGAGGAACACCGGUGGCGAAGGCGGUUCUCUGGGCCUGUACUGACGCUGAGGAACGAAAGCGUGGGGAGCGAACAGG